ensembl:lncRNA
UACUUGCAAGACGAGCAUACAAACAGACACGUGUGUGUUACUACGUUCAGAAGAACUGUAUCUCCAGUUCCUUUGUUUGGUUUUUGCUGCUUCGUGAAUAAUGGCUGGACGACGUCUCGCGUUCAACUCGCCUUCAACUCCUCUCCGCGGUCACCAACUUUCGCCCAGUCCGCAGACAGACGAGAAGAAGCUGCUGAAUGCUCUCCGUGGAUCGUCUCGUCAACUCCAACAACAAACUGCCGAUAUCAACGAGCGGUUGGGGACUCUGCGGGUUUCUGUCCAUGGAGGAGAGGAACCGACUCAAAGAAGAGGAGACGGGCGCACAAUCCCAAGAUAGCGGAAGCGGUGCGCCGUCUUCACAACUCCGAGACGAACUACUGGCGCUACGAACCGGAGCAAGGACUAAUCUCGCCUCAUAAUGAGGUGGUGACCUCGUAUUUGCUCCGGGAAAAGUCCAGAUUUAGACGACGUCAUUGUGUGUAAGUGACACUGUUUCUCCUUCCUUGUUAACUGUUACUGUGACUUGCGUUUGAUUGCGUUGAUCAGCCGGACACUCAUUGCGGGCGGAAGCUGCGAAGGAUUCAGCGCGGAGUCGAGCGAGAAGAAAGAGGGUCAGAGUUUAUUUGCUGACUUGUUUCAGGUGCAUUGAUAGAUGUGUUGUGUCCGUACGCAUCGCAUCGCACGGUACUGAUUCAUUGUUGUUUUUACAGCUGCUGGAAUCAAGACAAAGUGUGCUGGCUGAUGACGAGGUGGAACUCUGGAAAUCCGCCACCGUGGAGCUCACGUCGGGGUGGAUUGUACGGUCGCCACACACACACACGAGGCGCCUGCACAACAGACCUGCCUCGGAAAACACGGCGCCAGUGACGGUCUACAACCCCGAGGAGGCAAACGCACAGUUUACUGAGCUGUAGUUUUUUUAAACCGCCGUUACCCAAGUGUGGGCAGAUCCUCACUUUGUAUGUAGUUGUUGUUUGUGUGUUGUUAAUAAAGCUCUUUCUUUGCAUAAACAUGUGUCAAAUGUUCAUUUUCUCUAUAAAUUCAUUGAUGUCCUGGUUGGU